AUCCUUUCGGUUCAUGAAUGUGAUGAAUGGUGCGUUCACGGUCUCUCUGUGAAGGGUACUCCCCUACUCUUGUUACGCAUAGUACCGUAAAACCAUCUGAUC